UACGUAGGGACCAAGCGUUGUUCGGAUUUACUGGGCGUAAAGGGCGCGUAGGCGGCAUGACAAGUCACUUGUGAAAUCUCUGGCUUAACCCAGAACGGCCAAGUGAUACUGUCGCGCUAGAGUGCGGGAAGGGGCAAUCGGAAUUCUCGGUGUAGCGGUGAAAUGCGUAGAUAUGAGAGGGAACACCUGAGGUGAAGACGGGUUGCU
rnacentral:rRNA from 1 species